rnacentral:lncRNA from 1 species
GCACUGCACUGCAUGCAAAGCAUCCGUGAUGGACAGGCACUUUUUUCUGAGUGGAGAGAGAAGUCAGACGUGGGCUCCCAGGGCAGCAUGGAACUCUGUGAGGCCCUGGACCAGCUGCUGAAACUUAGGCUGCUCCUCCAGAUCCAAGGCCCAGCAACAGACCAUCACAGGGAACAGUUCAUCAGGGCAGUUGAUUGGCUGCGAUAUUCCAUAACUAUCUUUCAGGUUGGUAUUGUUCAAAUGUGAAGUUGCUAUUUAAGCUUGAGGGUGCAUCUAUGGGCCGAAUUCAAGAGCAACCCACAGUAUAUGUUCCAAAUGGGCUCGCUGAUCCUGCUUGCUUCUCCCCAGGGCUCCAGACUCAGGCUGACGUUCCUACUGUGCAUUUCCAUGAUGAUCUAUACAGCACCAUGCUCAUCAGUGUCUCUUCUGUUCAAACCAUUCCAGAGGUUGGAUUUCCCUACAGUAUCAGAAUCUGAAUACUUGGUUGGUUUGUUUGCAAGAGUAUUCAUAAGCUACCUAUACGCUGGC